GCCGCCCGCGCCGGCCACGCCCCGCUCACCUGCGCGCACGCCGCGCCCAGCGCCGGCACCCAGCGCAGGUGCAGCAGCGCCCGGCGCAGCGACGGCACCGCCGAGCGCGACCACACCCAGUCCAGGUGAGUGCCCAGGCGGUAAAACGGACCUGGGGGACAGGUGAGAGACAGGUGUGACAGGUGUGUGUGACACAGGUGUGACCCAGUCCAGGCGAGUGCCCAGGCGGUAAAACGGACCUGGGGGACAGGUGAGAGAGAGACAGGUGUGAUACAGGUGAGAUACAGGUAACAGGUGUGUGACACAGGUGUGAGAUACAGGUGUGAUACAGGUGUGAUACAGGUGAGGCACAGGUGAUACACAGGGAACAGCUGACACAGGUAAGUCCCAAAAUUACCCCCAAAAUCCCCUCUGGGACCCCCAAAAUCCCCUCUGGGACCCCCCAAAUCCCCCCCCAAA
rnacentral:lncRNA from 1 species